CCUACGGGUGGCAGCAGUGGGGAAUAUUGCACAAUGGGGGAAACCCUGAUGCAGCAACGCCGCGUGAGUGAGGAAGUAUUUCGGUAUGUAAAGCCCUAUCAGCAGGGAAUAGAAAAGAAGGUACCUGAAAAAGAAGCCCCUGCUAACUACGUGCCAGCAGCCGCAGUAAUACGUAGGGGGCAAGCGUUAACCGGAUUUACUGGGUGUAAAGGGAGGGUAGACGGAAAGGCAAGUCAGAAGUGAAAGCCCAAGGCUCAACCAUGGUACUGCUUUUGAAACUAUCAAACUAGAGUACGGGAGAGGUAAGAGGAAUGCGUGGUGUAGCGGUGAAAUGCGUAGAUAUUAGGAAGAACACCGGUUGCGAAGGCGUCUUACUGGACCGAAACUGACGUUGAGGCACGAAAGUGUGGGGAGCGAACAGGAUUAGAUACCCGUGUAGUC
rnacentral:rRNA from 1 species